rnacentral:rRNA from 1 species
GAUGAACGCUAGCUACAGGCUUAACACAUGCAAGUCGAGGGGAAACGCCAUCGAAAGCUUGCUUUUGAUGGGCGUCGACCGGCGCACGGGUGAGUAACGCGUAUCCAACCUGCCCAUCACUUGGGAAUAACCUUGCGAAAGUAAGACUAAUACCCAAUGAUAUCCCACGAAGGCAUCGGAAUGGGAUUAAAGAUUUAUCGGUGAUGGAUGGGGAUGCGUCUGAUUAGCUUGUUGGCGGGGUAACGGCCCACCAAGGCAACGAUCAGUAGGGGUUCUGAGAGGAAGGUCCCCUACAUUGGAACUGAGACACGGUCCAAACUGCUACGGGAGGCAGCAGUGAGGAAGAUUGGGCAAUGGGCGAGAGCCUGAACCAGCCAAGUAGCGUGCAGGAAGACGGCCCUAGGGGUUGUAAACUGCUUUUAUAAGGGAAUAAAGUGGGUCACGUGUGACUUUUUGCAUGUACCUUAUGAAUAAGGACCGGCUAAUUCCGUG